GUGGGAUCAGGUCUCUCUCUCUCACACACACACACACACACACACACACACACACACUGGCUCUUCUCUCUCCAGAGCAUAUCAGGGGGUGCAAGCAGCGACGCCAAAAAAAACAACCCUGUCUUGGACUUUGGUUUUGUGCAGCUUUGUGCAACUUAAUAUGGACAGCUGCCAAUGACUGAACUACACAUCUGGGGCAAUGGAAUGAGUGUGAACAAAUCAGAGCAAGGCUAGUAACAACAUGGCUGCUCAUCGCAUCCGAGUGACCAACAACAACAACGUCCUCCCGCGAUGCAAGUCAGAAGGCACGCUGAUCGACCUCGGCGAGGACGUGUCUGAGGCCAGUCUCACGGAAGUCAAAGUGCCUUCACCCAGUGCCUUGCGGUUGGACACCACUGCAUCUUUUGGGACCGCGCAAGAAGUAGUCGCCAUCAAGGACUACUGCCCCUCCAGCUUCACCACGUUAAAGUUCUCCAAAGGAGAUCGCCUGUAUGUGUUGGAUACAUCCGGAGGAGACUGGUGGUACGCGCACAACAACACCGAGAUGGGAUACAUUCCCUCUUCGUAUGUCCAACCUGUUGGCUAUCGGGACUCUUGUUUCAGUGACAGCGGAAUGAUCGACAACCUAGGGGACUCCUCGGACGAAGGCGUGAAGGAGUUAGACCUGCUCGGAGAGUGGACCGGAAUGUCCCUGAAGCUCCCUUCACCUUACAACAGCAAAAACAACCCAUUUUCUACAAAUCCAUUUCUCAACGUGCAGAACCAGCUACAAGACCAGAACGGCGCGCAACACAACAGCGUCGACCUACUUCUUUUCGACUCUCUGACUCCAUCUGCUCCGAUGUCCACUACCAGCAGCAACAGCACCAGUAACGGAUAUGGAAGUAGCAUUUUUGACGGCACGCCCACCAGCCCUAACGUAGAAACCUUGCAAGUGUUCCGCAAGGACAACCCAUUUUUCCGGAGCAAAAGAUCCUACAGUUUGUCUGAGUUAUCGGUCCUACAGUCUCAGUCAACUCCUCCUUUGCCACCAUCUGAGUUCUUUACAGGUCUUAAAGCGCCGUCUCCAGAGCAGUUUAAGAGCAGAGAGGACUUCAGGACGGCUUGGUUGAACCAUAGGAAGCUGGCACGCUCGUGUCAUGACCUCGAUUCUUUGGGACAGAACCCGGGCUGGGGUCAAACACAACCAGUUGAGACUAAUAUCGUUUGUAAGCUGGACAGUUGUGGUGGGGCGGUUCAGCUGCCAGACACUAACAUCAGUAUUCAUGUUCCAGAGGGUCACGUCGCAGAGGGAGACACCCAGCAAAUCUCCAUGAAGGCCUUACUGGAUCCCCCACUGGAACUAAACAACGAUAGAUGUACCACAGUCAGUCCUGUAGUCGAGAUCAAACUGAGCAACAUGGAGAUAAAGUCGUUCAUAACCUUGGAGAUGAAAGUAUCUGUAGAGGUGAAGAAAGAGAGCAGACAAAUGACGAAGGUCGUUUGCGUGAGGGGUGACAGUAAAGAUGGCCCGUACGUCCCGGUUCCUCAGGCUUAUAUAUACGGUGACACGGUUCAGGUUCAGCUGGACAGCCUGGAACCGUGUAUGUAUGUCGCAGUUGUGGUCCAGUCCCACAACAUCUCCUUUAAUUUAACAGUUUGGGAUCAAGUGGUGAAGAAAAUCACGUUGGGCCUGUACGGACCCAAGCACAUUCACCCGUCCUUUAAGACCGUGGUGGCUGUUUUUGGACACGAUUGUGCGCCCAAGACGUUGCUCGUCAGCGAAGUCGGGAAGCAAGCUCAGUCUGCACCGCCUGUCGCGCUCCAGCUGUGGGGGAAGCACCAGUUUGCCCUCAACAGGCCUCAAGACCUUCUAAUAGGCAUGUACUCGAAUAUGAGCAACUACGAGGUGAAAACGAACGACCAGGCCAGGGUGGUCCGGGGCUUUCAGGUAAAACUCGGCAAGGUGAGUCGGCUCAUAUACGUCAUCACGUCUCGGGACGCGCAAGAGUUGUCCGACUUCACCUUACGGGUCCAGGUGAAGGACGAUCAGGACUGCAUCCUCGCGCAAUUCUGCGUCCAGACGCCACAGCCGCCUCCCAAAACCGGAAUCCGAGCCAACGGCCAGCGGAGGUUCCUGAAGAAGAAGGAAGUAGGGAAAAUCCUGUUGUCCCCUUUGGCCAUCACGACGAAAUACCCACAGUUCCAAGAGCGCUGCGUCACCAACUUAAAGUUUGGUAAACUGAUCAAGACGGUGAUCAGGCAAACAAAGAACCAGUAUUUGCUGGAAUAUAAGAAGGGCGACAUCGUUGCCUUGCUAAGUGAGGAGAAGAUCAAAUUGAAAGGACAAUUGUGGACCAAAGAGUGGUAUAUCGGUUACUAUCAGGGAAAGACCGGACUUGUGCACGUGAAAAACGUGCUCGUCUUGGGAAAAGUAAAGCCCAUAUACUUUUGCGGCCCAGACCUCACGACCACGAUGCUGCUGGAACAAAUCCUCAAGCCGUGCAAGUUUCUUACCUACAUUUACGCCUCUGUGAGGACCAUACUAAUGGAGAACUUGGGCAACUGGAGGGCAUUUGCAGAUGCCCUGGGUUACGGUAAUCUGCCCUUGACUUACUUCUGCAGGGCAGAUAUGGACAGUGAGCCCGAGAGAGUGGCUUCUGUGCUGGAGAAACUCAAAGAGGAGUGCAACAACAUGGAAAUGAAGGAGAAGAAAUCUUUUCAGAAGGAGCUCAUGAUGGCUCUGUUAAAGAUGGACUGUCAGGGUUUGGUGGUGCGUCUCUUGCUGGAUUUCGUGCUCUUGACGACGGCGGUGGAAGUGGCUCCUCGCUGGAGGGAACUGGCCGAGAAGCUCUCUCGCGUCUCCAAGCAGCAGAUGGACGACUACGAAGCUCCACACAGAGACCGAAACGGAGCGAUGGAUGCCGAGGCCAUGUGGAAACCAGCGUACGACUUCCUGCUGACGUGGGCGGCUCAGAUCGGCGACAGCUACCGCGACGUGAUCCAGGAGCUCCAGCUGGGUCUGGACCGCAUGAAGAACCCCAUCACCAAGCGCUGGAAACAUCUCACAGGCACACUCGUCCUCGUCAACUGCCUCGACAUGCUACGGAGCUCCGCCUUCAGCCCCGCCUCCCAUGACGAUUUCGCUAUCUAGAGCGCGGCGUGGUGCCGAUCAUCUCUUAUUACGGACUGUCCUGCAUGUUUUACCUCAGUAGGACCCGUGACGGAUCGGACUGUUUUCUCCUCACAGUCUGACCUUUGACCUCUUCUGUCCGUCUCUCCGUCGCAGUUUGAAUGAAACGCGCGGAGCCGAAAACACUCUCGCCGGUUCGCUCUCGUUGUUUUUAGCCAGCGCGUUUACUUUUUUAUACACUUUUUAGACUCCGCUGUAAAUUAUUUCCCAAAAAUAAAACACAUCACGUAACGUCUACUAACACGGCACCUCGCCCCUUUAUCUCAUCACGUGAAGGUUAUCGUAAAGCGUUUUGUCCUUUCAAGCAUCCUGUCUGCUCUGCUUAUUAUUAUUAUUAUUAUUAUUAUUAUUAUUAUUAUUAUUACUGUUAUUAAGACAAACGGACAAUCAGAUAGAAAUGUAGAAAUGAUGCUAGGAUUGCACUCGUUGUGAAUUAGCGAGUCGUCUGGAUUUUACGUGUGCGUGUGUGUGUGUGUGUGUGUGUGUGUGUGUUAUGUGUCUUUUUAAAAAUGUCAGUGUCACACGUUGUUUCCAAAAGUGAUCAGUUGUUGGAAUUGUCGUAAAAUGUUUUGUUUCGUUUGUUUCAUCUUCUUCGAUGAGGCUGAGGCUACUCACGGUAAACUGUCUCUCUAAUGACAAUUGCCGUCCAAAACCGCUGAAACUCCGCCCACAGUCCGAGCUACAGUCAUUCCGCACUCGUUAAGGUAGCCUGGCGAUGUUUCCUCUCCGCUCUAUGAGGUGUAUGAGGCGUUUGGACGGUAAAACGCGUAGAAUCCUUCGCAGUUACUGUUAUUUUUAUGGUGUUUUUACCGUUUCGCGAUUGACCAUUUCUAAAAAAAAAAAAAACAAAAAAAAAAACCUGUCAUGUCGCUACGUCGUGCGUGCUUUUUUUUUACGUGAAUCUGAUUUUACAUGAAUCAACUCGAAACGUUCUUUGUUUUUGUUUUUUUUGCUGGGACAGAAAGCGAGAGUGCCCAGUUGAGAACACGUGAGAUUCUGGGGAAGAGGGGGCGGGGCUUCCAAUACUCACGUACUCCGACAUUAAAGCGCAGUGUAAUCGCGUCAGAAGUAAACAGUACUGGAUAUUGUGACGGCGUAAGAAAAAAAACAAUUAAACCAUCGCACUAGCACCUGAACUUCUCUUGGCCUGUUUCUCAUUGUUAAACCUGACACAGUGCAUUAUGGGUAAUAGGCUCUCGUUCACGUCAUGUUCGAACCAAAUUGUCCAAGAACACUACCGAGCGAUCGAUCGUACCGUGAAGGAAAACUGAUAAAGUGCUUCUGUCAUUGCCAAAUACUGAUCCGUGUUAAGUGUUAAGUGUUCAGUUGCAGUAUUAUUCACGACCCAGCUCUUCCUGCUAUUAUUCCCUUCCUUUGUCCUGUUUUUUUUAAUACUUGAACGUUUCUACGUGUUGCUCCGCGUGUUGCUCAUGAACCCGUGUUGUUGUUUUUCAGUGUGCAGUGUUAAGCUCCACAUGCUUCACUUCGCACUCGUCUGCUGAGUCGAUCCGAUCCGAUCCGAUCCGAUCCUCACUUCCGUCCCCUUUAACAGACGAACUGUGGGAAACUGUAGGCUCUCUCACCCACGUGUUUAAAGACGUGCUGCGUGUACGUUUCCUUCGAAUCGAGUCAAUAAAUGCGCCGUCGCUUUGGAAAACCUUCAUGUGUUUCUGGAUUUAUUUUCCCUCACGUCGCUCUGUGCCAACCAGGUGGAGCGGAAGGAAACCGAUGACAUCAUCGAGAUGCCACGAAUAAAGACGUGGCAUAUCGUGACACGUUUUUGCCUGCUUUCUACCAGCUCGCAGGAAUUCACAGGUCACCUACUAGAGAUAGCGAGCACAUCUUCCGCGUCCUUUCCCCUUCAGUGAACCAGCUGGGGCUUCCUUAUCGCCAUAGCAACAGGAUUAGAAGUACUACAGCUAAACUACGCUGGAGGAGGACGUACACCGGUCGUCUCGUCCUGUUUUUCUUCCCCCCGUUUCUCCUUCGCACUGGUGAGACACUUCAGCAGUAACGGACAUCACGUUAGUGACAUCAUAAGUUCUCCGUUGCCGAGGCAACGGUGACUCGAGGACACUUGACGAAACUCAUCCGCGGUCUGAAAUUAAGAACCCUGUAGAGUGAACAUGUUUUAAACAUCAACCCUUACAGCUCCUCCUACAGCUUCAGAAACACUGAUCAGACACACAUACACACACACACACACACACACACACGCUCGCUCUCUUUCUUUCGAUGAUUUAUGCACCAUGCUGACAUUUUUUUUAUAUUUCUACGUUUAUUCCUAAAGCUCGCUGUAGUUACUUUCUGGAAUCUUCUACACACACAAAUGUGAAAUCUCGACUGCGUAAAUAUUGGCACCUUCAUUUAUUUAUUUAUUUAUUUUUAACUCGUGCGACCAGAAAACGUCAGUUAUUUAGCUAAUACAAAAGACAAGAAAAAAAAAAAAGAAGUCUAGCUACAGUGUGUUGAAUAAAAACAUGAUUAUGAGUCACGGGAGAAAUAAGCGGGGAAUAAAAAAACACACGCGUGCUGUUACAGGGGAAAACUCCUCACUUAUUCUCGCCAUACAAACACUGUGUUUAAGAAUAUUUAUAGCGCAUUAAGAAAGGGGGCACAGACUUUUGCAUUUAAUUACGUGUGUGAAUACUAAUGAUCUAAAGAAGAGAUCUGCAGUCAGUCGACAUUUCAGUCUUGUCUCACACACCUGAGAUCACACACACACACACACACACACACACACACACAGUGUGAAAUGCAGUGAACUCAGCAGGGGCACAGUUUCCUCCAUUACACUGAUUUAUUCGGCCCAGAUAGAGACAGACAGAAUGGUGUGUGUGUGUGUGUGUGUGUGUGAGUGUGAGUGUGCGUGUGUGUGUGUUAAUCAGUUCAUCAGGUUUUUGCUGCCCAGCAGAUUCAGAGGAAUUGAGCGAUCAUUUGUGAGGCACUUAGUCCUGAAUCACUAAUCACACACACACACACACACACACACACACACACACGAUUAAUAACACCAAUAAAGUAAAUUUUCAGGGCACUAAACGAGUCGAUUAAUCUCUGAGUUUGUUGAGGUUAUUGGCAGGAAGAAAAUAGUCAGCAAGUGUGUGAGAGAGAGAGAGAGAGAGAAGGGGAAAGAAGACAGAAGGAAAAGAGGAAGAAGAUAAAGACAGAAAAAUGGAAAAGUCACAGAAGGUGAGAGAAAGGAGAGAGAGAGAGAGAGAAAAAAAAGAGGAAGACAGAAGGAGAGAUAGAGAGAAAAGAGGAAGACAGAAGGAGAGAUAGAGAGAAAAGAGGAAGACAGAAGGAGAGAUAGAGAGAAAAGAGGAAGACAGAAGGAGAGAUAGAGAGAAAAGAGGAAGACAGAAGGAGAGAUAGAGAGAAAAAAGAGGAAGACAGAAGGAGAGAUAGAGAGAAAAGAGGAAGACAAGGAGAGAUAGAGAGAAAAGAGGAAGACAAGGAGAGAUAGAGAGAAAAGAGGAAGACAGAAGGAGAGAUAGAGAGAAAAGAGGAAGACAGAAGGAGAGAUAGAGAGAAAAGAGGAAGACAAGGAGAGAUAGAGAGAAAAGAGGAAGACAGAAGGAGAGAUAGAGAGAAAAGAGGAAGACAGAAGGAGAGCGAGAGAAAAAAGAGGAAGACAGAAGGAGAGAUAGAGAGAAAAGAGGAAGACAGAAGGAGAGAUAGAGAGAAAAGAGGAAGACAGAAGGAGAGAUAGAGAGAAAAGAGGAAGACAGAAGGAGAGUGAGAGAAAAAAGAGGAAGACAGAAGGAGAGAUAGAGAGAAAAGAGGAAGACAGAAGGAGAGAUAGAGAGAAAAGAGGAUGACAGAAGGAGAGAUAGAGAGAAAAAAGAGGAAGACAGAAGGAGAGAUAGAGAGAAAAGAGGAAGACAGAAGGAGAGAUAGAGAGAAAAGAGGAAGACAGAAGGAGAGCGAGAGAGAAAAGAGGAAGACAGAAGGAGAGAUAGAGAAAAAAGAGGAAGUCAAGGAGAGAUAGAGAGAAAAGAGGAAGACAGAAGGAGAGAUAGAGAGAAAAGAGGAAGACAGAAGGAGAGAUAGAGAAAAAAGAGGAAGUCAAGGAGAGAUAGAGAGAAAAGAGGAAGACAGAAGGAGAGAUAGAGAGAAAAGAGGAAGACAGAAGGAGAGCGAGAGAAAAAAGAGGAAGACAGGAGACAGAGGAAUGGAAGAGUGACGGAAGGAAAGAGGCUGAACGAGGAAGGAAGACAGAGAGACAGAAAAAAGAGGGAGGAAAAAAGAAGAGAGAGAGACAGAACUCCAUGUGCACUUUGCAGGUGCUGAAAAACAUAUCGCUGCUCAGAACUCCUCAAAUGACACACACACUUACAGCAAAUGUGUGUGUGUGUGUGUGUGUGUGUGUGUGUGUGUGUGUGUGUGUGUGUGUGUGUGUGUGUGUGUGUGUGUGUGUGCUCAAUAAGAAGCUAUUCCAGUCACUCCAGGUGUCUUGUCUCCUGCUCCUUACACACUUCACUCUCUCUGAACCAAGUGUGUGUGUGUGUGUGUUGCAUGUGGUGAAGAGUGAUGGAGUGUGUUUGGGGUUUAAUAGCGGCAGGAAAAAAAAUUAUCACUUGUUAGUCCACACACACACACACACACACACACACACACCUUCCUUCCUGUUUCCUUCCAUCUUCACAAGCAGCAGAAUCGCUGGAACGUUGCCUUUUGUUUACUUGUUUAUCUCCAGUCUUCCUUCCUCCUCGAGCUCUUCGUAAUGUGAGCGUAGAGAUUUCAAACACACCACGAGGCGUUCUUCUCAUCAUCAUCAUCAUCAUCAUCACCAUCAUCAUCAUCUCCAGUGCUAUUAAACAAUCUCUACAUAAUCACUUCACAAUUUAACAUUCUCAUGAUCUUCAGUGAGUGCCGUGUCCUGGUCAGGAAGCCGGAUAUAGAGUUUAUCCCGGGAAUACUUGCUGUGAGGCAGGAAUACACCCUGGAUGUUACACCAAACACACGUUCACACACUCGUCCACACUUGUCACAGCCAACCCUCCUACCCGCACACUUGUGGGAGGAAACCAGAGAACCCAGAGGAAACCUACACACAGUAACUCGAGCUCAGGAACCAACCUGGAACCCUGGUGCUGUGAGAACACGCUACACACUGCCAUGUUUAUUCUCUCUCAGUUUUCCUCCAGCGCUCAUCUACACUACACGCUGUUACGCUGCUCAACGCUGCCAUCUUGUGGCUAAACACCGACAUUACACUUAACAUCCAGUAAAAGAUUUCAUCCUCAAACACUUGUGUUGGUUUCAAGUGAUAUUAAAGCUGAAUCCCUUCGUGUUAGGUGUGUGUGUAAAGGUGUGUGAAUCUCUUACAGUGUUCAAGAACAUGUACACGUACACACAGAUUUCUAAAAAUGUGUGUGAAAGUGCGUAAUUGUAUAAAAUAUGUGUUAUUAUUAUAAACAGUCUAAAAUACAUCAUUUUAAUAUGCAAUAUAAAUAAGAGAGAUAAGAUAGAUGAAUCAGUCACACACUGUUAACGAUGUUAAUCGAUGAUGAUGAUGAUGAUGAGCAGCUGAUCUUUGUGGGUAUCCUCAUUAGUGCUGAUUGAGUGCAUUAGGUUUCCAUACGUGACUGUACUCCAGUAAGUGAACAAGGGUUUCAGGUUACUAAGCGUACCAGUUCCCUCGUGCCCUAUUGUCCUGGUUUCCUAGCACUGUAGUUUGGGAUUUCCCGAAUGUCCCAGUUCCCAACUGUUCUAGCUUCCUAGUCAAUAAGCGUCGCAGUUUCGUCGACUUGUUUUUAUUAGCUCACUAGUGGCCUUGUUUCUUCAUUCCCUCGGUCCCUACAGAACACUGCUUUUCAGCUAAUGUCCUCAUUUCUUACCCUUUACUUUCUU